rnacentral:misc_RNA from 1 species
GAUGAAGAACGUAGCGAAAUGCGAUAGCUAAUGUGAAUUGCAGAAUUCAGUGAAUCAUCGAGUCUUUGAACGCACAUUGCGCCCCCUGGUAUUCCGGGGGGCAUGCCUGUCCUAGCGUCAUUGCUGCCCUCAAGCACGGCUUGUGUGUUGGGCCCCGUCCUCCGAUCCCGGGGGACGGGCCCGAAAGGCAGCGGCGGCACCGCGUCCGGUCCUCGAGCGUAUGGGGCUUUGUCACCCGCUCUGUAGGCCCGGCCGGCGCUUGCCGAUCAACCCAAAUUUUUAUCCAGGUUGACCUCGGAUCAGGUAGGGAUACCCGCUGAACUUAAGCAUAUCAAUAAGCGGAGGA